GGUGGUGGUGGUAAUGAAUAGUGGUGAGUGGUGGUGGUAGAGAGAGAAUGAGAGUUUUUCAAUCGCCAGAGGAAAUGAGGUGGUUAGGAGUUUUUUUUUUUGAUGUGAGAGGGAGCCAGCAAUUAGUCAGCAUAGAGUGCAAAAAAAAAAAAGAAAAAAAAGAAAAAGAAAAUCCACGUCAGCAGUUUCCGUUAGCAAUUGGACAGAUAGACGGCGGGUGCCUAUUUUAGGGGGUUUUGUAAGUUCAGGUAUUUAUUUGGAAAUAAAACGAAGUAGAGGUGCUUAUGGAAUAUUUGGAUAAAGGUUAAAGGGCGAGAUGAAAAUUUUCUCAAUAGUUAAAUCAGGGUUUCGAGUCUUUUGCACAGACCCCUUUUCCUCGCUUCCUCUCCGUCGCUUCCUCUCAUUUCCGGACGUCAAUGGACGACAACGUCGACUUCAACGUCGAUGGAGUUUAUGAUAUCGCAGAGGUGAAGAGAAUUUUUGAUAGGCAGAAGAUUUGGAAACACUUCUGGUUCUGGCAUCUGCUUUCACACCGUUCUUUGGGUUUGCAUAUUUAGCGUCUGUGGGAAACCAUUGUAGUUAUGUUCAAUUUAGAAUAGUUUUGAGUUGAGUUGAACAGUUCGACGAAGGUUCUCUAAAUCUGGUUGCAGGUCCAAGGUAUUCAACCCUAUAAAGGUCAAAUUCUCCUUUGAAUCGUUUGGUUGGUUUGGAUACAAAUUAUCUUGAGUGGUGUCUAUAAUAUUCCCCAAUCGCUUUUCCCUUUUUCCAUGGCCCAUAUGCAUUUGAUGUUCUCUAUAUUGGCUGGAUCCAUUAGGAGCCAUUACCAACAAUGGUGUGCAUUUCCAUGUAUCCAGAAAAAGUGAUUAAAUGCAGCUUGUAUUCGGUAGAGAUCUAUAAUAUGGCUUUUGUGCAUCUAAUUUAGGCGCAGCUUGUUACUUCUUUGCAAGUAGGUGUUAACAACUACGCAGUCGCUCAAUUGUCAGAUACACCACUUUUAUGGUGUGAGGUUUGGAAUUUGAGCAGAUGGAGGAGGUCAUCAAACCACUAACAUCUUCCAUCUGGAGAGAAGGGAAAAAAAGGAGCAGGUGUGGGUGUAUGACAUACUUAAAGUCCCAUAUUUGUUUUAGGGUCGAUAAUUGGUAGGCCCAAUCUAAUAAUCUAUACUCAGAGAUAGAAACUCGUGUUUGGAUCUUGAAUUUUUCAAGGUAAAGGAGAAAAUGAGAUUAUUUUUGAAUGUAGAUUUAAUACAAAUUAUCUAUACAACACAAAAUUGACUAUUUUUUUUUUUUCCAUAUCUUAUGCCUAUUCCUUGUUUCUUCAGUUGCAUUUUGAUAGGGAAGAAGCUGUUGCCGGAAACGCUCUCCAAAAAGUGUGUUGGUCUCAUGCAAAAGUUUAUGAAUAGCGCUUGAAGAUAAAGGAACAACAGGAGAAAAAUGUAGAGGAGUGACAGUCUAUGUUAACACAGCUUUAGCAGUUGGAAGAAAAGAAAGUGGUGGCAGUAAAAGAACGGGAAAAAGUCGAAAGAGAACUCGAGGAAAUGACAAUGGGGAUGAAUAAAUGGAAGGAGAUACCCCCUGUCCCGAUUUGUUCGUCUACUUUUUACUUCUUUUUUAUUUUUAUUUUUAUGAACUGGUUUACUAUUUUAAUUUAAUAUCUAGGAAAGUGAGGGGUAUUUUUCUUUUUGUGUUGUAGGCUAGUGAGGUGGAGCCCGUAUCUCUUUUGGACCCAUGAUAUUUAGCUGUUAAUAUGGAAGGAUUGUUGGAGCAAAAUAGUGGUUUCUAUUUGUGUGCUGUUUUUUAUGGGAGGACUUGGAACUCUUUGCCAUAUCUUGUUUAAUAGAAAAUUACAUAUUUAGGUAGAAAGAAUUCAUUUUUUUAUAUGAGCUACAAGAGAUAUAGGUUCUAGCAUCCUUUUUUUGAUAAUUUAGGCGACGUCUGAGCCAACUUUGGCCUUGAUAACAUGUUUUCUAGUAAUUACAAAAGUGUUGGUGCUUGUCCUUUUGGUGGUUUGCUCCUGGAUUGAUCUUUUAUUGGGAGUUCAUCGUGGUAACGACAUUAUUUUGGUUGUAGGACAUGGGCUUUUGCCCCAUAAAGCCCAAUUGGGGAAUUUAUGGCCUUGAAUGUUGUCUACCCCCUUACUAUCUUAUUCCUCCCUAAAUAAUACACCAAAAACUCAUACUGCAUCCAAUUGAGCCCUAAUUUCAACAAGCAAACACCCCAGACUACCGGCCAAUCAUUUUGUGAUGUGGUUUACAAAUUGAUUGCGAGGUGGACUUCAAUCGGUGGUUCAGUAAUAAUCUCUAUAUAGUAUAGCAAUGAGUAUUUUCUUCUCUGUUACCCUUUAGGCUGGUGUUUAAUGCUACAACAUUCAAGGCCAUAAAUUCCCCAACCGGGCUUUAUGGGGCAAAAGCCCACAACCAAAACAAUGUCGUUACCACGAUGAACUCCCAAUAAAAGAUCAAUCCAGGAGCUAACACCAGAAGGACAAGCACCAACACUUCUGUAAUUACUAGAAAACAUGUUAUCAAGGCCAAAGUUGGCUCGGACGUCACCUGAAUUAUCAAAAAAAAGGAUGCUAGAAACUAUACCUCCUGUAGCUCAUAUAACAAAAUGAACUCUGUCUACCUAGAUAUGUAAUUUUCUAUUAAACAAGUUAUGGCAAAGCGUUCCAGGUCCUCCCAAAACAGCACACAAAUAGAAACCAUUAUUUUGCUCCAACAAUCCUUCCAUAUUAACACCUAAAUAUCAUGGGUCCGAAAGAGAUAUGGGCUCCACCUCACUAGCCUACAACACAAAAAGAAAAAUACCCAUCACUUUUCUCGAUAUUAAAUUAAAAAAGUAAACCAGUUCAUAGAAAUAAAAAAGAAGUAAAAAGUAGACAAACAAAUCGGGGAGUACCACCUUCCAUUUAUUCAUCUCCAUUGUCAUUUCCUCGAGUUCUCUUUUGACUUUUUCCCAUUCUUUU